rnacentral:rRNA from 1 species
GAUUCGCGGCCUAUCAGCUUGUUGGUGAGGUAAUGGCUCACCAAGGCGACGACGGGUAGCCGGCCUGAGAGGGCGACCGGCCACACUGGGACUGAGACACGGCCCAGACUCCUACGGGAGGCAGCAGUGGGGAAUAUUGGGCAAUGGAGGAAACUCUGACCCAGCGACGCCGCGUGAGGGAUGAAGGCCUUCGGGUUGUAAACCUCUUUCAGUAGGGAAGAAGCGAAAGUGACGGUACCUACAGAAGAAGCACCGGCUAACUAUGUGCCAGCAGCCGCGGUAAUACAUAGGGUGCAAGCGUUGUCCGGAAUUAUUGGGCGUAAAGAGCUCGUAGGUGGUUAGAUACGUCGGAUGUGAAAAUCAGGGGCUCAACCCCUGACCUGCAUUCGAUACGGUCUAGCUAGAGUGUGGUAGGGGAGACUGGAAUUCCUGGUGUAGCGGUGGAAUGCGCAGAUAUCAGGAGGAACACCGAUGGCGAAGGCAGGUCUCUGGGCCAUUACUGACACUGAGGAGCGAAAGCGUGGGGAGCGAACAGGAUUAGAUACCCUGGUAGUCCACGCCGUAAACGGUGGGCGCUAGUUGUGCGAACCUUCCACGGUUUGUGCGACGCAGCUAACGCAUUAAGCGCCCCGCCUGGGGAGUACG